CCCUGGCCUUGACCUAGGGGCCGGGCCGGGCCGGGGCGGGGCGCGUGCAUUCGCGGGUCUCAGGCCUGCGCCGAGCACCGAGCACCGUGUGCUGAGAAUGAUCCUAAACCGCAGGCUUUCUUGUAAAUCUCGUGUGGUCCACUGGUGCACCGAGAAUGCUUCUGCUUGCUUUCGCUGGACUCUUGCACCCGCCGCCAGCCUGUGCUUGAAAUCCCCCCGGUGAUUGUCCAGAACGGAGUUGCUUCCCAGCCUCCCACAUUAAAUGUCAUAAACUUGGAUUAAACGUAAUAGGUGAUACGAGGGAUCCCUGGGUGGCGCAGCGGUUUGGCGCCUGCCUUUGGCCCAGGGCGCGAUCCUGGAGACCCGGGAUCGAAUCCCACAUCGGGCUCCCGGUGCAUGGAGCCUGCUUCUCCCUCUGCCUGUGUCUCUGCCUCUCUCUCUCUGUGACUAUCGUAAAAAAAAAAAAAAAAAAAAAAAAAAAAAAAAAAAUGCAAUAGGUGAUACGAACACGGUUGAGGUUGCAUUAAGUAAGAAGUGAAGCCCAAAAGACCCUGGAAUUUCAUCAGUGGUACGAGCAUCUUCUUGAUGAUGGUUUACAAAUACUAUUCUUCCUCAAUGUGUUGUGCUGUUUACAAUAGAAAGGCUACAGGCUUGACACAAAGUUUAGUUUAACUACAUUGUUAACUUUCUCUAUUACUUCCUAAAGUCUAGACAGAGGGGUUAGCAAGUGUUUUCCACAAAGGGUCAGAGGGCCAAAAUAUUUUAGGCUUUGCCAGAUACACAUAAUCUGUCACAUAUUCUGUUUUGUUUUGUUUAACACCCUUUUCAACCUUCAGGCUCUGAACUAUAUAGAAUUUUCAGAUGGAUGAGUUCAGGCUACCAAGGUGGAGUGUCUGAGCGCGGGGUUGGGAACGCUGUUUCCAGCAUGUGGAUCCAAUAGAGCGAAGCCCACAGAAUUUAUCAUUUCGUACUCGUGAGCCAGCUGCAGCUCAGCACUGGUCUUACCUCUAAGGGAAGGUGACAGUGGGUAUGGCGGUUGGUGAUCGAUGUUCACUUCACCUGGGUUCCACUUGGCCAUACCCCAAGGUCACCCCCAAUGAGUCAACAGCCUCCUGGAUGGUGGACUUCUCGCCCAUCAUGCUCAUGUUCCCGUGAUGACUGGAGACAGCCUCUCCUGCUGGCCUUGCAGGAGCAAACAGCCAAGUUAACUGCCCCUGGAUAGUGCCACGUGGUAGGGGACUGUGGGCAGUCAGCCUCCAGGACCCGAGGGUGGCCUCCAGCCAGAUACCAGGAAGAAGCUAUGGCCCUUGGCCAUGUAGUCACAGGGAAACACAUCUGCCAGCAUCCUGAAUGAGCUUGAAAGUGUAGCACCUCCAGAUGAGAACAGAGCUCAACCUACACCUGGAUUACAGCCACAGGAGACCCUGAGGGGAUGAUAGAGACCCAGCUAAAGCCAAGGGCCAACUCCUGCCCUAUGGAAGCUGAGAUGCCACGGGAGGGGGUGAGCUGUGGCGGCCGUGGGGCUUCCAGGCUGCCACAGGAUGAGAGCGGAGCUGGCCUCAUUGUUGACUGAGGGAGCUGGAGCCAUGGGGUUGAGCUACUCCGAAAUUCCAUCUACAUCCAGAUCCCAAUCAUGUGGACUGAGACAUUUCCGUGUUGUUUAAACUAUUGACGCUCCCAUCCUGCCUGGCACUCAGCAGCUGUGAGGAGAAGGAGUCUGGGCUCUGAGGAAGGGAAACGUCCCCACUGCCCCUCACUGUAAUGUGACUAGGACUACCUGUGGAUGCCCCCCAUCCAGCCUCAGGGACACAUGCACCGGAGGAAAGUUCAAGCUGGUGUGGGACCCGCUUGGACCAUGGUUUCUGGGCCUGGGCCUCCUGGCUGUUGCUUGGCUUCCUGCUUUAACUCUGCUAUGCCUCGUCCCCUUCUUCCCACAUCCCAAGCAAUCCCUAGAUUCUGUUGUGGUUCUAGGAGCCUUGUCCCUGAUCACAGGCCUGUAUUCUGUUUCCUGCCACAGAGACCUGGAGGUCCGGCCGCCUCAGCACCUCCAUGGAGGGGCCCUCUCACCCCUCCCCCAGGACUACACGUCCUCAGCGCUACCCCUGGAGCCUUUGCUCUUCUCUUGCCUGUGGAAUCGCACAAAAGAGAACAGGGUCCCUGGGCCCCAGCCUGGCCUCCCACUUUGCCAGCCAGACUUGAGGGCCCGCCCCAGAGGAAAAAGCUCCUGCUAAUCACACUGCCCAGUAUGCAGAUAGAUGAAUCUUCCCAGACCAGCACGGGUCUCAAGGUUGGCCUAGCAGUGACGAAACUGAGCAGGCCGAUGACUGGACUCCCAGCCCGCAGCCCGCCUCGGCUUUAUCGGCCGUGUUUUGCCGAACAAAGGCCCUGCCGGCCCUGGGAGCUCAUGCUGCCACUCCAUUGAAAUCCCGAGGUGGUUCCCUAUUAAUCACUCCCUUAUGGUGCCUCAGAGGCCAAAAGGAGUCAAACAAAACCUCUCUGCUAAGCAGGAAGAGCUUUGCAGAGGCCUGAGCAGCAAGAUUCCUCAACCGUUCUCCAGUUUAACACUAACAAGAUGCUGGGGCCUCCCGGACUCACACAAACAAACCGGAAUCGCUGCCUGGCUGCUGGAGGGGGACUUGGAAUGUGACUGGCUCCUCCUGUGCUCCAAAGGCUCCAUGUAGGAGGCAGGGCCGGUGAGGGAGCUAUCAAGCCUGCACGCAGCCCCUUCCUUAUUUUAAAACCUAAAAAGACCCAAUUAAAUGAUUUUUUUUUUAAGCAGACACAUACUAGGAAGACAGAAGAAAAAUAUUUUCAUUUCUCUCCCUUCUCUGGUGUGACCUUGACUCUCAACUCCUCUGUCUGUCUUUUCUUCUAAUGUCACCAUCCUGCAUGAACUGAUAAUAUUGCAUUAUUCAUUAUUCUAUAAAUAUGAAGUUUGGCUUCUCUUUUUAUUAAUUUUUUAAAGAUUUUAUUUAUUUGACAGAGUGUGCACAAGCAGGGGGGUGGGGGCAGAGGGAGAGGGAGAAGCAAGCUCCCCACUGAGCAGGGAGCCCAAUUCAGGACUCGAUCCCAGGACUCUGGGAUCAUGACCUGAGCCGAAGGCAGACUCUUUACUGACUGAGCCACCCAGGCACAUCUGGCUUCUCUUUUUAAACAGACACACCAAGGCCAAACACUGAGCCAUCAUUCACCAAGACAAGUCUUCAUUUCCCAAGGAGCAGACCUGUUAUCUGUGGGCCAGCAUUUGGAUCGUCCUGCUGCAGAGAGAAAUGGCUUUUCUGUACAGAUGCUGUGGCCUCUAUCAGAGGAUAGUCCUAGAUUUUUAUGCCUCUGAAUGAAAGCACAUUCUUUUUCAUAAAAAUUUAAUUAAAAAAAGAAGGAAGGGGAAAAAAAAAAGCUGGCUCAAAGAACACUUGUGUGCCAUCCGUUCACAUGAGGGCAGAAGUCUAUCCAAGACAAAUGCAUCAUAUUAGCUUGGAAAAUCAGAUGAUUAAUAAAGAUACAACAAUUCA